GUGGGGUUAGUGUUGCUAAGUCGUUUGUUUUGUAUGUUGUGUCUUGUGUACUAUUAUUUGUCUGUUUGUCUUUUUAUUUUUUUAGCCAUGGCGUUGUCAUUUUAUUUUCAAUCUAUGAGUUUGACUGGUCAAGUGUCUCAUGUGGAACAGGAUCUGCUUACCCUUCCGGAGCACCUGAGAUCCCUACCACUUUUUGGUGGGGUUCGUGUUGCUAUGUCUUUAGUUUUGUAUGUUGUGUCUUGUGUACUAUUAUUUGUCUGUUUGUCUUUUUAUCUUUUAGUCAUGGUGUUGUCAUUUUAUUUUCAAUCUAUGAGUUUGACUGAUAUCUUUCACCCCUCUUUUAAGUUUAUGGGAUAGUUGUAGUGAAGCUUUAUAUUGAGUACUAUCAAUAUAAUAUCAAUCAAUGGUUAGUAAAAAAGGCGAAACAUUUCAG
rnacentral:lncRNA from 1 species